GACGAGCGCUGGCGGCGUGCUUAACACAUGCAAGUCGAGCGGUAAGGCCCUUUCGGGGGUACACGAGCGGCGAACGGGUGAGUAACACGUGGGUGACCUGCCCUCAGCUCUGGGAUAAGCCUGGGAAACCGGGUCUAAUACUGGAUAUGACUCCAUGACGCAUGUUGUGGGGUGGAAAGCCUUGUGCGGCUGAGGAUGGGCCCGCGGCCUAUCAGCUUGUUGGUGGGGUGAUGGCCUACCAAGGCGACGACGGGUAGCCGGCCUGAGAGGGCGACCGGCCACACUGGGACUGAGACACGGCCCAGACUCCUACGGGAGGCAGCAGUGGGGAAUCUUGCGCAAUGGGCGAAAGCCUGACGCAGCGACGCCGCGUGAGGGAUGACGGCCU
rnacentral:rRNA from 1 species